rnacentral:lncRNA from 1 species
GUUACAACAAAGGCAGGCUUGUCUUAUGAGAAUCAAAAUUAUGCUUAAUUGAAUUCUGCUUUGGGAGUUUCUGUCAAUCACACAGCUGUGUGAAUUGGAAAAGACACAUGAUUGCAACUAUGAUUAACUUCUCUGGAGUUGCUCUGAGUACUGUAUAUCACAUUUCAUAAAGAGAUGUAGUAUCUCCAGAAUAAUUGCAUUGUUCUGAAGGGUAUCUUUUGAAUGUCAAAAAUAACUCCAUUUUCUUUGAGGGGACAUAACGGGGAUAAGAGGAAGAGACAUUCUUAAACUGAAGGUUGUGAAGAUUUCUAAAAUAGGGUCAGCUGAAAUAGGGGGUGACUUGACACAUGUAAACAAUUAAGGAAGAAUUAAAGAAGGGUGUGUGUGACAGCAGGAAGGAACUUAGGGCCAUGUGGUGCAAAUUUUCAGAGAGAUGAGUGUUUUGCUUGAGGGCAGAAUGGAUUGUUGCAGGGAUUGACUGUGACACCUGUGUCAAAUGAGAGUGAGGAGAGCAUAGCGAGUUUUAUGGGCAUUCGUAAUGCUCUGAAGAUUACUUGAUUUAACUUUGGAAAAGUCAAGGACACAGUGGCAACUAGAGGGACUGUGACCAGAGUGGUGCAUCUCGGUGUUGUGAUGCAGGCCCAGUCAUCUCCCUCAGAAAGUCAUUCCCUGUGCAUGGCUGGCCUGAGCCAACAUACUGCGUGGCAACGUGCCCAUUGUUUGCUGUGAAUUUAGAACCUGAAGCUAAGGAUGAAAGCCCUUGUCAGCUGUGCAGGUUAGUGAACAGCUUUCGUGCAGACCUCGGGUUCCUUCGUGGAGAAGGAAAGAACACUUGGUCCUGUCACCUUGGUGUGUUUCUGUAUCACUGCUCAUUAUCUGCUGAAGAAGCUGCAAUGAUUUUUUCUCUCACCAGAGGCUUUUGCAGUAGUUUUCCACACACCCCUUUCCUGAAGCCACAGGAAGAACCACUGGUGUAAACACAGGGCUCUGCUCUGUGUAGCAGAGCUAUUGCAGUUUUGCUGUGCAUCUAGAGCUCUUGGCCUGCUGGGGGCAGGGUUUUUCAGCUACAAAGGUCCUCAAGAUAGAAAUGUAGGAGAGUGUUAUGCGUUGGUAACUGUCUCUAGUUCCUGUUGAUCUCCAGCUGCUUUUGGUGAGCUUGGUUCUCUCCCUGAUGACAGAGAAGUUUUAUUUUAUUACUGUAAAGCAAUCAGAGGGAAGGAGUAUGUCAGGUGAAGGGGCAACUGUAGCUAGUCUGGACAUAUCUUCUAGUCUUUUUUCAUUGUGUACAGCAUUGCCUUAACAUUUAAAAUACAGACAAAAAAAAAAGUUGGUAGGUUGUGAUGGUGGAUAACGUACCAUUUACAACCCCCCCCCCUCAAUCCUAAUCCCCAUCAGCCAGUUCUUAAGCCACUGAGCUGCUGGCAGCUGUGGUGUGAGAAAAUGAUACUGUUCAGGGUAGCUCUCUGGCACAGGCUGGGAUGAUAUUGGGGAAGACAUGAAAUUAAAAAGAGCUUGUUUAAAAUUGACUGCUGAUUACUCACUUCCAUAAAUACAUUGGAGCACAAGAAAUUUAUUGCACUUGGACAUAUUUGCAAGCUGCUUUUUGGAAAUGGACACAAAUACACUCUGAAUAAUACAGUUUUGCUGCUUGAUUGGCAGGCAAUCUCUCCAUGGUUCUACUGAAAAGCAACUUAGGCUAGUUUUUUCAGUAGGAUGGAUGUCAGAGCCUCAUUUUCAUUCUUCCUGUGAUGCUUAAGAAAUUUUGGAAAGUAGAAGAGAACAAAAGAGAGUGAUUCUACUGUAAAAUGCAAAGUCCUGGUAUUUUUCAUCAAAUUAGGAGUAUAGAAGGUGUUGGUCUGGAUGUUAAAUCACAGAGCAGACUGAAUUUCCAUAUGCAGUAGGAUGAGUGAAAAGGGUAUAGUAAUAUAGAUUAAAAUGUUCUACAUAAAAACUCCUUCUUGACCGUAGAACUAUUAAAUCAAAGAAGUAGAUAUCUAUAAAAAAAAAAAAAAAGGGCAUAACAUUUCAAAUCCCAUUGUAGAAAACUGUGAGUGGGAGAGUCCAGAGUUCUGAACACAGAUACCAAGAUCUUGGUAACCACAGGGUAAGAAGUCUGUGGUUUUAUUUCCCUCCCCCAAAAAAGUGAUACUGUUCAUGAACAUUCCAACUGAAGUUUGACAACAAGCAGGAAAUUAAACAAGUUAUCUCUGAAUUGUGUGCAAAAUACUCUAAAAUAAAGGAAGAAAACAGAAACCUAAUUACA